rnacentral:rRNA from 1 species
GAUGAACGCUGGCGGCGUGCCUAAUACAUGCAAGUCGAGCGAACAGACGAGGAGCUUGCUCCUCUGACGUUAGCGGCGGACGGGUGAGUAACACGUGGAUAACCUACCUAUAAGACUGGGAUAACUUCGGGAAACCGGAGCUAAUACCGGAUAAUAUAUUGAACCGCAUGGUUCAAUAGUGAAAGACGGUUUUGCUGUCACUUAUAGAUGGAUCCGCGCCGCAUUAGCUAGUUGGUAAGGUAACGGCUUACCAAGGCAACGAUGCGUAGCCGACCUGAGAGGGUGAUCGGCCACACUGGAACUGAGACACGGUCCAGACUCCUACGGGAGGCAGCAGUAGGGAAUCUUCCGCAAUGGGCGAAAGCCUGACGGAGCAACGCCGCGUGAGUGAUGAAGGUCUUCGGAUCGUAAAACUCUGUUAUUAGGGAAGAACAAAUGUGUAAGUAACUAUGCACGUCUUGACGGUACCUAAUCAGAAAGCCACUGCUAGCUACGUG